UACAGUAAUGCAGAUUUGUAUACAUUAUAUACAGUAAUGCAGAUUUGUAUAUAUAACAUACAGUUAUACAGUAAUAUAGAUUAAUUUUGUAUUAUUAUAUACUCACAAGGUUACCUAACAAGCUUCAAUAUGGGUGAAAACUCUUCACUCCUGGUACGAACUUAAUAACUGUGGUCAAUACAGAUGAUUGUUAAAUAAUAUGGAUUGUGAUAUUAUAUUGAUACAUAACAAUACAGAUUAAUAACAAGUACAUUGUACCAGAAUUAAAAUAAUAAUUGUAAAUUAACACAAAAUGAAAGGUCACAGUCUGUCACCAAGAUCUAAAUGUACCUGUCUGGAUUUUUGUUUUGAUUGAUAGUAUAAAUGUUAUAAUGAUAUAUGGCUAUGUUGUAAUACACAUGUUAUAUACAGAUAAUUGAUUAUAAACUUCCAUUAUAUGGUUAUCAUGUUUGUAUUGUUGUGUAUGCCAGGUAUACAAAUGCCAUGUUUUAAUAUGAAAAUGUAUAGUUAUUGGUUUAUAUGCUUAUUUGUUUUUGUUUGAGAUAUUUAUUGUGUAUUAAAGCAGUAUGACUGUGGGUAGAAGUAGUUACAUUUGCCUUUCCAGGACAGAAACAUAUUAUUGUAAAAUUCAUUUUAUCUCCAACCAAAACAUUUGCUUCAAGUCUAAUUAUCACUUGUUUUUGUUGCAAAGGCCAUGCCAUUUCCACUUUUAAUGCACAAUUUACUUGUAACUUAGGCACGAAGUCACAUUUUAAAAAGAAAAAUUACUGUUCCUAUCAAUUUUUGUGAUAAAAAAAAUCCACUGUUAGCGACUACAUAUAUAUUGCUAAUAGAAAGAAGGAUCAUGCACUAUGAUUGUAAUGGACACAUAUUGUUGCUCUAUUUGUUUUAUAGAUAGAUGUUAUAAAUCAUCCUCACACAUUAGUGAUCAACCAUUUAAUAAGAAAAAUAUCUAACCAUGUUUUACGCUAGUUAUCUCCCCUGACAGUUUCAUUUUCAUGCAUUGAUUUUAGAACAUCAUGAACAUACUUUUUGACGACCAAUAAUUUUGAUGCGCAUUUUUGAUAUUUUGUUGUAAGAAUGAAGGUUUUUUUUUGUUUUUUUUUGUCAUUUUCAGCCCUCAAAACUAUCUGCGCAAAUUACACAGGUUUUAACAGUAAGUUACCUAGCCUAUUAGUUGUAUUCUGAAACAGUCUCUAUAAUACAGACACAUUAUUACUCAGUAAAAGGUAUUGAUGAUAUCAACAAGUUUAAAUAGAAAAUGCCUUACAUAACAUAUAUAACACUACUUGGAUAGUUAGACGACAUCUCUUCUGUAGCACUGAUGGAGUAGGGAGACAAUUACAAUUUGCCCCCAUCCCCUGAAAUACAUUAUUUUGUAUCCAGCCAACAGUCCAUUACUUAAGACUGGCUAUAUGUAGUUUUGGCGUUGAUGUAAUAAGGAAAUGGAUUUAUGAUGGAUGGAUUUAGAGAUCUCGAUUGUUGUUAUGAAGUUAAGUAAUACUAUUAUUCAUUGUGGACGAUGGUCUUUUUAAUUUAAUGGUCAAAUAUUUUAAUUUUUGCUAUUACAAGAUGAUAGAAUUUAUUUUGUCAUCAAAGAAAUUGGUGAAGCAUUAGCUCAAUCAGUCACCCUGUGAAAUGGAAAAUCUUGAUUGAAUGCCUAAAUAAGGUUUGAAUAAUUAUAUUAAAGUGGUUGCUUGGUGUGCAAGGUUGUAGUGUUUAUUGCAAUAUUAUUGAGACAGGGUUGCCCAGGUGUUUUACACUAUUUCCAGAUUAUACUCAUUAACAGGUACCUAAAGUCUGUAUCAUUGUCUAUAAUCACAACCCAAUAAACACACAAACAGACCAAGCUUAAUGGUUGACAACACAGAUAAUAAAAACACCAUUUAUUAUGUAUAUUAUAUACUUCAGAUGCCAUAUCAACUAUUCCAGGUGCUUUGCUGCUUCAUUACCUAAACAUAAUAUCUAAUGACACGAGAGUUACUGUUCAGCAGUAAUCAAACAACACUAGAUAUCUGUAUUUUUGAGAUCUAGGGUUCAGAAUGUUAUAAGAGUUUAGUUAUUAGUAUUUUAACUGACAUCACUAUGCUGUUCUGAUGAAAUAUAAGAAACAUAAUUGAUCAGUGUAGCAUGGCGUGGUAUACAUCCUAUAGCAUGAGUUCUUUACAACGUGAACGAGUCGUGUAUAUGAUGCCACACUUGAAAGGUGAAGGUACACCGAUGCAUGUACAUGUAUUUGACUUAUUAUAAAACUGUGUUGAAGAGAAUUGCUUACAAAUCCUUUUAUCAUGACUUUUUCAUUGAAAUAAACAUAUUAAUUGGUGGAGUGUCGUUAUCUUAAUUUGAGACACCACAUGGAGACUGUUGUUUUUUUUAAAGAAAUUCUUAUUUUUUAAUGUUAAAUCGCGAACACAUUUCAUUAACUUAUUAUAGGUACUCUGGUGAUGUGCAAUGUUUGAAGAAGUAUUUAAAUCAGCCUGUUGAAGAUCAGUAUUUUAUGAUUUGUUCUGAGUUUUCAUCAUGUGUUGUUGAUGUACACACUAGGAGACAUUAUAAUCCUAGUUACUGUAAAAUAACACUUGUUUUUAUAUUGAUAUGCUGUAUUACGUUUGGUUUACCGGUAAAUGUUUUACAUUCCUUUUUUGGCUGUUACAUGUACACAUUGCAUUGAAAGUAGAUAACCUUUUAUUUAUGUUUUCAAUUUUCCAUUGUAUAAAAACAAUUUGACUGUUUGGUUUCCUGAAAAGUGGCAUUUUGUUUGAAAAUAAUGAAGUCAAUAUGGACUCUUGAAGCUAGAAGUCUAAUCACAAUGGUAGGCAUGUACAGGUAUUUGUUUAGUGGUAGUUUAUAGAUUUCCUGUCGUUUUUAUUAUGUAUGAAUUAGUAACAGUAUGUGUGGUUAGGCUAGCUACUGUUUUAUGUCCUAUUGAUGGGAUCAACUCAUUUAAGGACGUAACUUAUAGGAGGAAGAAUUUAAAGUUAGAUUUGCUUCAAUAUGAUACUUGGAAAUUUCCUGCUGUGUACAGGAAUUCUGUAACGAUUGUUAUCAGUCAAAUUGGAGCUGAAACAAUAUACAUAUAUGAAAGUUUCAUUUUCCAUGUGACUACAAUCGAUAAUUUUUAUCAAUCUAAAUAGCUGAUGCGAUUUAAAACUCAACCAGGAAACAGAUGUUUGGUUUUAUAUUGUUUCUGGAAAGUAACUGAAAACCAUACAGGAUUGUGUUAGAUGUGUUCCCAAUGAAUUAAGCAGGCUUUUGAUUUGAUUAAAAAAAACUGUGACAAAAGAAAUGCAUGAUGUGCAUUAUAUUACACUUGUAAAUUCCAGAGAACAUUUCGUAAGUUAAAAAAAAUAUAUAUGGUAGAUUUGAUAUGUUAUGUGCUUACUCUGAAUUCUGAGUAUUUGUAAUUUAAAUCAGUACAUUGCCUUUAAUUUUCCCAAUAGCCAGAUCAAAUAUGACUAUACCUGUAAAUUGCUAUAUAAUCAGUAAAAGAUUCAACCAAUAUUUUUACAUCAAAAUCAUGUUUAGGACAAUCAAUUGAUGAGUUCAUCACAUGCUGACUAAAUAGACGUGUGGACUAACAGGUAACCGGUAACAGUGUAUGUAGACAUAAAUAGAACGUGUGGACUAACAGGUAACCGGUAACAGUGUAUGUAGACAUAAAUAGAACGUAUGGACUGACAGGUAACCGGUAACAGACAGUGUAUGUAGACAUAAAUAGAAUGUAUGGACUAACAGGUAACCGGUAACAGUGUAUGUAGACAUAAAUAGAAUGUGUGGACUAACAGGUAACCGGUAACAGACUGUGUAUGUAGACAUAAAUAGAUGUGUGGACUAACAGGUAACCGGUAACAGACAUUGUAUGCAGACAUAAAUAGAACGUGUGGACUAACAGGUAACCGGUAACAGACUGUGUAUGUAGACAUAAAUAGAUGUGUGGACUAACAGGUAACCGGUAACAGUGUAUGUAGACAUAAAUAGACGUGUGGACUGACAGGUAACCGGUAACAGACUGUAUGUAGACAUAAAUAGACGUAUGGACUAACAGGUAACCGGUAACAGACAGUGUAUGUAGACAUAAAUAGAACGUGUGGACUAACAGGUAACCGGUAACAGACAGUGUAUGUAGACAUAAAUAGACGUGUGGACUGACAGGUAACCGGUAACAGACUGUGUAUGUAGACAUAAAUAGACGUGUGGACUGACAGGUAACCGGUAACAGACAGUGUAUGUAGACAUAAAUAGAAUGUGUGGACUAACAGGUAACCGGUAACAGACUGUGUAUGUAGACAUAAAUAGACGUGUGGACUGACAGGUAACCGGUAACAGUGUAUGUAGACAUAAAUAGAAUGUGUGGACUAACAGGUAACCGGUAACAGACUGUGUAUGUAGACAUAAAUAGAUGUGUGGACUAACAGGUAACCGGUAACAGACAUUGUAUGCAGACAUAAAUAGAACGUGUUGACUAACAGGUAACCGGUAACAGACUGUGUAUGUAGACAUAAAUAGAUGUGUGGACUAACAGGUAACCGGUAACAGACAGUUUGUAUGUAGACAUAAAUAGACGUGUGGACUAACAGGUAACCGUUAACAGUGUAUGUAGACAUAAAAAGAACGUGUGGACUAACAGGUAACCGGUAACAGACAGUUAUGUAGACAUAAAUAGAACGUGUGGACUAACAGGUAACCGGUAACAGACAGUGUAUGUAGACAUAAAUAGAAUGUGUGGACUAAAAGGUAACCGGUAACAGACAGUGUAUGUAGACAGAAAUAAACACUAACGUGUAAACUCAUAUUUCAAAGCUAAAAAUCUAUUGUACCAGGACAAAAUGUAGUUGGGGAUUACGUAGAUAAUAAAGUUUGAAGAUUUAAAAAUGGUUUAUUGAGUGUAUGCAUGUGCCACAUAAUUAAAGUGUAUGUAAAUAAUUCGCCGGGUGAAUGAGUGUAAACUUGACAAAAAGGAAGAUUUGAUGAAGUUUAGAGUAAACACAAAAACUUUACUAGGGAUCAAAUAUGUAUGUAAAAAUCACUACUGAACCUUUGCUUUUUGCAUAUACACAUUCAGAAAUAAUGGACUUUUCCGAUUAUCUUAGCGUUGGUGUUAUCCUAAUAUUGAGUUGCUGCUACUUUUUUGUGAUUAUGACUAUGUAAAAUGAUGUAAGUCUAUUAGGAAAUGUUAUUCCUUAGUCAAAAGCAUUAUUACCUGUAACUUUUUACUUUAAACAACCGUUAUGUUUAUUUGUUACCUAGGACAUCACACAUUGAAUGUAUUAGUCCCAUUGUAUGUACCCUUAGGUAUUACGUUGUACAUAUUCUACUUUGUCAAGAAUCAAAUAUCAAUAAAGCCACAGUCAUUUUGUAAAUAAGAUAGCAAGAACAUAUUUCAAUGGCGUUAAAACACAAAGUUAAUAUAUCAAUGGUUGUAAAACACAGACAAUAUAACAAUGGCGGUAAAACACAAAGACAAUAUAACAAUGGCGGUAAACACAAUGACAAUAUAACAAUGGCGGUAAAACAAAGACAAUAAAACAAUGGCGGUAAAACACGAAGACAAUAUAACAAUGGCGGUAAAACACUGAGACAAUAUAACAAUGGCGGUAAAACACAAAGACAAUAUAACAAUGGCGGUAAAACACUGAGACAAUUUAACAAUGGCGGUAAAACACAAAGACAAUAUAACGAUGGCGGUAAAACACGAAGACAAUUUAACAAUGGCGGUAAAACACGAAGACAAUAUAACAAUGGCGGUAAAACACAGACAAUAUAACAAUGGCGGUAAAACACAAAGACAAUAUAACGAUGGCGGUAAAACACGAAGACAAUAUAACAAUGGCGCUAAAACAGACAAUAUAACAAUGGCGGUAAAACACGAAGACAAUAUAACAAUGGCGGUAAAACACAAAGACAGUAUAACAAUGGUGGUAAAACACAAAUACGAUAUAACAAUGGCGGUAAAACACAAUGACAAUAUAACAAUGGCGGUAAAACACGAAGACAAUAUAACAAUGGCGGUAAAACACAGACAAUAUAACAAUGGCGGUAAAACACAAAGACAAUAUAACAAUGGCGGUAAAACACUGAGACAAUAUAACAAUGGCGGUAAAACACAAAGACAAUAUAACGAUGGCGGUAAAACACGAAGACAAUUUAACAAUGGCGGUAAAACACGAAGACAAUAUAACAAUGGCGGUAAAACACAGACAAUAUAACAAUGGCGGUAAAACACGAAGACAAUAUAACAAUGGCGGUAAAACACAAAGACAAUAUAACAAUGGCGGUAAAACAAUGACAAUAUAACAAUGGCAGUAAAACAGGAGGACAAUAUAACAAAGGCAGUAAAACACAAUGACAAUAUAACGAUGGCGGUAAAACACAAAGACAAUAUAACAAUGGCGGUAAAACACGAAGACAAUAUAACAAUGGCGGUAAAACACAAAGACAAUAUAACAAUGGCGGUAAAACACUGAGACAAUUUAACAAUGGCGGUAAAACACAAAGACAAUAUAACGAUGGCGGUAAAACACGAAGACAAUAUAACAAUGGCGGUAAAACACAGACAAUAUAACAAUGGCGGUAAAACACAAAGACAAUAUAACGAUGGCGGUAAAACACGAAGACAAUAUAACAAUGGCGCUAAAACACAGACAAUAUAACAAUGGCGGUAAAACACGAAGACAAUAUAACAAUGGCGGUAAAACACAAAGACAGUAUAACAAUGGUGGUAAAACACAAAUACGAUAUAACAAUGGCGGUAAAACACAAUGAAAAUAUAACAAUGGCGGUAAAACACGAAGACAAUAUAACAAUGGCGGUAAAACAGACAAUAUAACAAUGGCGGUAAAACACGAAGACAAUAUAACAAUGGCGGUAAAACACUGAGACAAUAUAACAAUGGCGGUAAAACACAAAGAAAAUAUAACGAUGGCGGUAAAACGCAAAGACAAUAUAACAAUUGCGGUAAAACAAAGACAAUAUAACAAUGGCGGUAAAACACAAAGACAAUAUAACGAUGGCGGUAAAACAAAGACAAUAUAACAAUGGCGGUAAAACAAAGACAAUAUAACAAUGGCGGUAAAACACAAUGACAAUAUAACAAUGGCGGUAAAACACAAAGACAAUAUAACAAUGGCGGUAAAACACAGACAAUAUAACAAUGGCGAUAAAAACACAAAGACUAUAACAAUGGCGGUAAAACACAGACAAUAUAACAAUGGCGGUAAAACACAAUGACAAUAUAACAAUGGCGGUAAAACACAAUGACAAUAUAACAAUGGCGGUAAAACAAUGACAAUAUAACAAUGGCGGUAAAAGACAAUGGCAAUAUAACAAUGGCGGUAAAACACAGACAAUAUAACAAUGGCGGUAAAACACAGACAAUAUAACAAUGGUGGUAAAACACAGACAAUAUAACAAUGGCGGUAAAACAAUGACAAUAUAACAUUGGCUAAAACACAAUGACAAUAUGACAAUGAUGGUAAAGCAGAGGAUAAUAUAUUAUAAUAUUAAGACCAUAUAAAACUGUAAGGCACAAAUACGGCAUAAGAGACUGUAUAAGUAGUCUGUCAUUAAGACGUAUAAUAUAAAGACAAUGUUUAGACUUUGGUAUAACAACAAGCGCAAUUACCGUACAAGGGCGAUAUUAUUAAACACAGUGUGACAAAAAGCAAUAUACCGACACUACCAACUGUAACGAGCAAACCUGUCUGGUUUGUCUUUUUUCGAGAACUGCUUUACACAUGUUUUACAAGAUUACUUUUGAAUCAGGAACUUUGGUUUGAAUUGAGUGAACAGUUGCUGAGCUGAAAUUGAAGAGAAAAAACUUCGUUUCAAUAAUUCAAAUGUGAAUUUAUUGUUCAGUGUGUGUUUCCAAGCAAAAAAAGAAUAGUGAAUAUUUCUAUCACAAAUUGACAACGCCUUUUUGUAGAGCGUUGCCUAGGACAACGUUAUAUGAUGAGUCCAGCAGGGUUGGGCCAAAAUAGACUUGUGUCAGAAACAAUGGGGUCACCUCAUCAUCAACUAUGAGUGUAUUCACCACUCUUCUCCGUAGGAAUCUACAUUUUCUUUUAUUUAUUUUAAUUACGUUUCAAUGAUAGAAUAAUAAAAGUUUUAUGGGUUA